rnacentral:lncRNA from 1 species
AUAUGUCACAGAUCUUAGUUAAAAUACGAAUAUGGGAAAGAAAGCAACAUCAAGGGUGAUUCUCAUUGUGUUUAGUAAAGAUAAUUGAGUGGAUGUGUGGUCAUAUACACUGAGACUGUGGAGAGCAACUGACUUGUUUGGAGUGGGAGAUAGAAUUAGAGAUCUGUUUUGGAUGUUGUAUAAGUUUCCUAGGACUACAAUAAUAAAGUACAACAAACUGGGUAGCUUAACAUAACAGAUUUUUUUUUUUUCUCUCACAGUUCUGGAGGCUAGAAGUCUGAAAUCAAGUUGUUGACAGGGUUAAGUGGAUAGAUCUGGUGGAGGAGAGAUAUGACAUGUCUCUACUUGGACUAUGAGAUAGAGGGACUGGCAUCUUAGUACUGCAAACCUCAGUGACAAUUUAGAUCAGGCCCAAAUAAUCAAAGGGGCUGCGACAUUUGCAUUUCCACCGGCAGUGAAAAAGAGCUCCUGUUGCUCUACAUCCUUGGCAACAUUUGGUAUUGACGGUGUUCUGGAUAAUGGCAUUUCUAAUAGGUUUUUCAACCAAAUAAAAGCAUCUGCAUUCUUACUUUAGACUGCUAACUAAGAUCCCAUAUAGGUAAGUUCUUACUUAACACUGCUAAGCUGCCAGUCCAAAUUGGGAUGGGUAACCAAAAAAUGGAGCCAAACAGUAAAUGUUACUUGUCUUUCACAGCUGUUUUUCAACUCCUGUUACCUUAAGACUAUUCCACAUUGUCCGGUGUCAGGAUCUAAAAGCAAAUAGGUGACUUUCUAUUUGGUUUUUAACUGUAAUAUUAGUUCAGGUCAAAUAGCCAGUUGACAGAGAUUAAUCAAAACAUGAGAAU